GAUGAACGCUGGCGGCGUGCCUAAUACAUGCAAGUCGAGCGAACAGACGAGGAGCUUGCUCCUUUGACGUUAGCGGCGGACGGGUGAGUAACACGUGGGUAACCUACCUAUAAGACUGGGAUAACUUCGGGAAACCGGAGCUAAUACCGGAUAAUAUUUCGAACCGCAUGGUUCGAUAGUGAAAGAUGGCUUUGCUAUCACUUAUAGAUGGACCUGCGCCGUAUUAGCUAGUUGGUAAGGUAACGGCUUACCAAGGCAACGAUACGUAGCCGACCUGAGAGGGUGAUCGGCCACACUGGAACUGAGACACGGUCCAGACUCCUACGGGAGGCAGCAGUAGGGAAUCUUCCGCAAUGGGCGAAAGCCUGACGGAGCAACGCCGCGUGAGUGAUGAAGGUCUUCGGAUCGUAAAACUCUGUUAUUAGGGAAGAACAAACGUGUAAGUAACUGUGCACGUCUUGACGGUACCUAAUCAGAAAGCCACGGCUAACUACGUGCCAGCAGCCGCGGUAAUACGUAGGUGGCAAGCGUUAUCCGGAAUUAUUGGGCGUAAAGCGCGCGUAGGCGGUUUUUUAAGUCUGAUGUGAAAGCCCACGGCUCAACCGUGGAGGGUCAUUGGAAACUGGAAAACUUGAGUGCAGAAGAGGAAAGUGGAAUUCCAUGUGUAGCGGUGAAAUGCGCAGAGAUAUGGAGGAACACCAGUGGCGAAGGCGACUUUCUGGUCUGUAACUGACGCUGAUGUGCGGAAGCGUGGGGAUCAAACAGGAUUAGAUACCCUGGUAGUCCACGCCGUAAACGAUGAGUGCUAAGUGUUAGGGGGUUUCCGCCCCUUAGUGCUGCAGCUAACGCAUUAAGCACUCCGCCUGGGGAGUACGACCGCAAGGUUGAAACUCAAAGGAAUUGACGGGGACCCGCACAAGCGGUGGAGCAUGUGGUUUAAUUCGAAGCAACGCGAAGAACCUUACCAAAUCUUGACAUCCUUUGACCCUUCUAGAGAUAGAAGUUUCCCCUUCGGGGGACAAAGUGGCAGGUGGUGCAUGGUUGUCGUCAGCUCGUGUCGUGAGAUGUUGGGUUAAGUCCCGCAACGAGCGCAACCCUUAAGCUUAGUUGCCAUCAUUAAGUUGGGCACUCUAAGUUGGCUGCCGGUGACAAACCGGAGGAAGGUGGGGAUGACGUCAAAUCAUCAUGCCCCUUAUGAUUUGGGCUACACACGUGCUACAAUGGACAAUACAAAGGGCAGCGAAACCGCGAGGCCAAGCAAAUCCCAUAAAGUUGUUCUCAGUUCGGAUUGUAGUCUGCAACUCGACUACAUGAAGCUGGAAUCGCUAGUAAUCGUAGAUCAGCAUGCUACGGUGAAUACGUUCCCGGGUCU
rnacentral:rRNA from 1 species